ensembl:lncRNA novel transcript
GAGCGCAAGGGCCCCCUGUGACCUCUGGAGGGGUAUCCUCCUUUGAUUAGGUGACUAAUCGGGUGACUUGGAGUUAAUAAAAAAAGGAGACAAUCCCUGGAGCCUGCAUCAGGUGAGCCCUGGGCCCUCCCUGAAAGACAUUUGAGGUGUGAGAGGGCUCAGAUGAGAGGAAGCAUCCCCAUGUUUGGCUUUUGGGUUUUGAAGAUGAAGGGGCCACCUGGCAGGAAUGCAGGCGACCUCCAGGAGCUGAGGGUCAGCAAGGAAUGAGGGCCUCAUCCCUACAGCCACAAGGAGCUCAAUCCAGCCAGCAUAUGAAUGGGCUGGGAAACGUGUUCUUCCCUGGGGCCAUCACAUAGGGUACAAUAAAUCCCUGGGGUCCUGAACCACCUAGGAUGGAGGUGGCCAACACCUGCCGUAUGAGGCAUCCCUGGCCCUGCCUGACCGCAGAGAGCCAGCCGAGCUAGGCACUGGCUUUGCAAGACGUCUCCAGAUCAUGCAGGGUCAAACGUUUCUACUUUUUGCAUGCCUACUAAUUUUUUAUUGUAUGCUGAACAUCAUGAAUGAUACAUUUCAGACCUUUUGAUUCUGUGUCUUCCUGUGAAGAAUGUUGAUAUAAGUAACUUGUGGAUCACCUGACUCCUGCAGAGACGUGGUUUUAAGCUUUGUCAGGGCAGGUCCAUUUAUAUUCAUGCCUUAGUCCUGGAAUGUAGCCAUUGAUUCUGGGAUGUGGCCCUUGUGGGUUUCUCAUGGAAUUCCAAAAUGCUUAUAAAGAAACAAAGAUAAACUCUGAAAAGCAGAAAAUAAAGAACAACUGAUCAUGUACAGGGAGAAGUGAUUAAUGGCUGACUUCUUAUCAGAAUUAAUGAUAACAAGAAGACAGUCAAAUGCCAUUCAAUGUGCAAAAGAAAAAAACUCAACCAAAAAUUCUAUAGCUAGUAAAUCCUUCAAAAUUGAAUGAGCAAUAAAAACAUUCUCAGACAAACAAAAAGAAUGAGUUUCUAGAAGGUCUGCUCUAUAAGAAUGAGUAAAGGAAGUGCCUCAGGCUAACAGGAAAUGUAUCUACAGGAAGAAAGGAAGAACGCUGGAAAUGGUAAAUAUGUGGAUACUAUGAAAGACUGAGUACACACAUACACAAAAGUAAACACAUGCUUAAUGUUUUUUAAACACCAGCAAGACUGUCUAAGGCAAAAAUUAUAACACUGUAUCAUUUGAUUUAUUAAAUACAGUAGACGGCUUCUACUUCUGGAAGAUGGAGUAGAUACUUUUUCUAUUCACGCUUGCUAAGUACAGCUAAAUGCCUUGGACGUUAUAUAUAAAACAAACAUAAGAAAUACAAAAAAGUGAAAAGAAGAAAGAAAGCUGGCUAGGGACCUCAGGAUCUCAAGAACACCAUGGAAUUGGCGUGUACAGCUAAAUGCCUUGGACGUUAUAUAUAAAACAAACAUAAGAAAUACAAAAAAGUGAAAAGAAGAAAGAAAGCUGGCUAGGGACCUCAGGAUCUCAAGAACAUCAUGGAAUUGAGUUCCCUGGGUUUUCUUUUUGCCUUAAAUAUCCCAGACUUGGUGUUAAAUAAUCUGGGAACAUGGAAAUGCCAAUGUGUGCAGACCAAAACAGCCCCAACAAAAGCCUGUUCUCUCUUGGUAAAGGAUGAGUAAAUGGGCAAGCUAGUAAUAUAGAAAAUUUUUAGACAAGAACCUCUCCACACCUGUCAAAUACCACACAAACAGCUGCAGCCCUAACUCCACCCUUGCCCUUUAAAACUGCAGGGGGAGCGUAGCUCUCUAGCCCUGUGGGGUUGUAAGAAGGCACAUCAGCCCCUCCACUGGGGUAGCGUCAAAGAAGGCUGAAUGAGGAGUAAGGACUUUCAUCCAUGCCAGGGGACACUACACCCCACAGAGUCAGGGGAGACCACGUGGAGAGCCUGGAUUUCCAUUAUCACUCAUCGCUAAUGAGUGACCCCUCCCCAUCCCUACUGAAGUGGAAUCAAGACAUAAAGGUCAGCAGUCGCAAGGUCACCCCAGGGUCAAUGGAAGCAAUGUGGGGAUGAGUGAUGAGGCAUCCCUGGGCCUUUCAGCCAAGGUUUAAUCAGUGCAGCCCUAGCAGAGGAUUUUAACUCCUACCCCUGCCCAACAGUAAGGAGGAGUCUCUCCUUUCCUUGCGUCUCAGUGGAGGCUGAGAGGAAACUUUGAUUUCCACCUCCACCUGGCAGCAACAAAACAGCAUUCCUCUUUCUCCAGUGGGGCAGUGUCAGUGGAGGCCUGAUGCAAUAGGUUUAAAUAUAUUCUAGGAUCCAAAAAUAUAACACCCAAAAUGUCAGGUUUUCAAUUUAAAAAUUACUAAUUAUACCAAGAAACAAAAAAAUAACAGCUUGAAUGAAGAAAGACAAUCAACAGAUGCUUAAACCAAGACUCCAUAGAUGUUGAAAUUCUCAGAUGAAGGCUUUAAAACAGCUAUACUAAAAAUGCCUCGAAAAACACGUUCAACCCAAAU